GACGAACGCUGGCGGCGUGCUUAACACAUGCAAGUCGAACGGAAAGGCCCUUCGGGGUACUCGAGUGGCGAACGGGUGAGUAACACGUGGGUGAUCUGCCCUGCACUUUGGGAUAAGCCUGGGAAACUGGGUCUAAUACCGGAUAUGACCAUGGGAUGCAUGUCUUGUGGUGGAAAGCUUUUGCGGUGUGGGAUGGGCCCGCGGCCUAUCAGCUUGUUGGUGGGGUUAUGGCCUACCAAGGCGACGACGGGUAGCCGGCCUGAGAGGGUGACCGGCCACACUGGGACUGAGAUACGGCCCAGACUCCUACGGGAGGCAGCAGUGGGGAAUAUUGCACAAUGGGCGCAAGCCUGAUGCAGCGACGCCGCGUGAGGGAUGACGGCCUUCGGGUUGUAAACCUCUUUCAGUAUCGACGAAGCGCAAGUGACGGUAGGUACAGAAGAAGGACCGGCCAACUACGUGCCAGCAGCCGCGGUAAUACGUAGGGUCCGAGCGUUGUCCGGAAUUACUGGGCGUAAAGAGCUCGUAGGUGGUUUGUCGCGUUGUUCGUGAAAACUCACAGCUCAACUGUGGGCGUGCGGGCGAUACGGGCAGACUGGAGUACUGCAGGGGAGACUGGAAUUCCUGGUGUAGCGGUGGAAUGCGCAGAUAUCAGGAGGAACACCGGUGGCGAAGGCGGGUCUCUGGGCAGUAACUGACGCUGAGGAGCGAAAGCGUGGGGAGCGAACAGGAUUAGAUACCCUGGUAGUCCACGCCGUAAACGGUGGGUACUA
rnacentral:rRNA from 1 species